rnacentral:rRNA from 1 species
GUGGGGAAUCUUGCGCAAUGGGCGAAAGCCUGACGCAGCCAUGCCGCGUGAAUGAUGAAGGUCUUAGGAUUGUAAAAUUCUUUCACCGGGGAAGAUAAUGACGGUACCCGGAGAAGAAGCCCCGGCUAACUUCGUGCCAGCAGCCGCGGUAAUACGAAGGGGGCUAGCGUUGCUCGGAAUUACUGGGCGUAAAGGGCGCGUAGGCGGACAUUUAAGUCAGAGGUGAAAGCCCAGGGCUCAACCUUGGAAUUGCCUUUGAUACUGGAUGUCUUGAGUUCGGGAGAGGUGAGUGGAAUGCCGAGUGUAGAGGUGAAAUUCGUAGAUAUUCGGCGGAACACCAGUGGCGAAGGCGACUCACUGGCCCGAUACUGACGCUGAGGCGCGAAAGCGUGGGGAGCAAACAGGAUUAGAAACCCGUGUAGUCC